AGUGAACGCUGGCGGUAGGCCUAACACAUGCAAGUCGAACGGCAGCACAGUAAGAGCUUGCUCUUACGGGUGGCGAGUGGCGGACGGGUGAGGAAUACAUCGGAAUCUACUUUUUCGUGGGGGAUAACGUAGGGAAACUUACGCUAAUACCGCAUACGACCUACGGGUGAAAGCAGGGGAUCUUCGGACCUCGCGCGAUUGAAUGAGCCGAUGUCGGAUUAGCUAGUUGGCGGGGUAAAGGCCCACCAAGGCGACGAUCCGUAGCUGGUCUGAGAGGAUGAUCAGCCACACUGGAACUGAGACACGGUCCAGACUCCUACGGGAGGCAGCAGUGGGGAAUAUUGGACAAUGGGCGCAAGCCUGAUCCAGCCAUACCGCGUGGGUGAAGAAGGCCUUCGGGUUGUAAAGCCCUUUUGUUGGGAAAGAAAAGCAGCAGGUUAAUACCCCGCUGUUCUGACGGUACCCAAAGAAUAAGCACCGGCUAACCUCGUG
rnacentral:rRNA from 1 species